CGACCGAGGCUACGCAACGGCGGUGACCGGCAGCGGGGAAAGGCAACGGCGGCGGGGCAAAUCAAGACGGCGCCGACGAGAUCCUCCUCCGGCGACUGGUCCCCGAUACCUGCACCUUGGCCUAUUCUUGGAUUGGAUCAACCACCUCCAUCUUGGGAACUUGUGAGAACGCCUGUUUUUGUGCUGCAAUGAAUACACAAAGACUAGAGCUUAUUAGGAAGAGGAGAGAGGAAGACGACGAGGAUUUUAUGUUCUUACUUUUACCAAUAUUGCACUAUCACAAAAGGAGUAGAAAAG